GGGCGUUACCCAAGUGGCUCAAGGGGCUCCCCUGCUAAGGGAGUAGAUCGCUAACGCGGCGCGAGGGUUCGAAUCCCUCACACCCCG
rnacentral:tRNA from 1 species